rnacentral:rRNA from 1 species
ACGGGAGGCAGCAGUGGGGAAUAUUGGGCAAUGGGGGAAACCCUGACCCAGCAACGCCGCGUGGAGGAAGAAGGUCUUCGGAUGGUAAACUCCUGUCCUCGAAGACGAGAAGAAGACGGUAUUUGAGGAGGAAGCCCCGGCUAACUACGUGCCAGCAGCCGCGGUAAUACGUAGGGGGCAAGCGUUGUCCGGAAUGAUUGGGCGUAAAGGGCGCGUAGGCGGCCCGUUAAGUCUGGAGUGAAAGUCCUGCUUUUAAGGUGGGAAUUGCUUUGGAUACUGAUGGGCUUGAGUGCAGGAGAGGUUAGUGGAAUUCCCAGUGUAGCGGUGAAAUGCGUAGAGAUUGGGAGGAACACCAGUGGCGAAGGCGACUAACUGGACUGUAACUGACGCUGAGGCGCGAAAGUGUGGGGAGCAAACAGGAUUAGAUACCCUGGUA